CAUAGCGACUAUCGUGGCAUAUCAAUAAGCGGAGGAAAAGAAGCUAACAAGGAUUCCCUUAGUAACGGCGAGUGAAGCGGGAAGAGCUCAAAUUUGAAAUCUUCAAGGUUUUACCUUGACGAAUUGUAGUUUAAAGAAGUGUUUUCUGUUGGAGUUUUGGUAAAAGUUCUUUGGAAUAGGACAUCAUAGAGGGUGAGAAUCCCGUAUUUGACCAUUAUUUUCAGCUGUGUGAUACACUUUCAAAGAGUCGGAUUGUUUGGGAAUGCAGUCCAAAAUGGGUGGUAAAUUUCAUCUAAAGCUAAAUAUUGGCGAGAGACCGAUAGCGAACAAGUACCGUGAGGGAAAGAUGAAAAGAACUUUGAAAAGAGAGUUAAACAGUACGUGAAAUUGUCAAAAGGGAAGCGUUUGACACCAGUGUUGUUUUCUCGAAAAUCAAUUAAAAAAGGCCGGAUUUUGUGUUGUAUUGACCUUAAAAGCUUUCUUCACUCUUUUCUUGUCUUUUUUAAUGCACUUUUCGUUUAACAAGUCAACAUCAGUUUCUUUUGUUGUAAAAGGGUCAUUGGAAGGUGGCUUUCUUUUCGGAGAAAGUGUUUAUAGCCUUUGAUCUCUGCAACCGGAGAGACUGAGGUCUGCAGCGUAGACUCUUCGGGGUUAGAUACAUUUGUGCUAAGCUAUAGCUUUUUAUAGACAACUUGUUGACUAUAUUUAGUCUUGUGGCUUACUCGCUUAUGCUAUUUUACCUACGCUUAGGAUGUUGAUAGUCACAGCGUGUAC
rnacentral:rRNA from 1 species